rnacentral:tRNA from 1 species
UAGCUCAGUUGGUAAAGUGCUUGCCUUGCAUGCAUAAGGCCCUGGGUUCAAUCCCCAG